AGUAACCCAUACUGGAAGAGACAGGGCGCUUCCGGAACAACAACAUAACAUUCAUAGCCUGUAAAAGACGCUUGUGUUUCAAGGCAAAUUUCUGGGUACGAAACAGAUACAGUAGAAACUGAACGAUCUGUACACCAUGGUAUGAAUUCUGAUAAAAGCCAGCGUCUAUGUGGUGCGCAAGAUCCGCGCUGCCCUUACAGAGGGAGAGCAAGCAGAACAACCUGUGCUCACACCAUGUAGUCUGGCUAAAGGUAAAAAGGAGCGCUAUGCAUCAGACGCAGCAUUAAUGCCCGCUCCAGAGCCUGAGGGUGCUGCUGGGUCAUCUGCAUCUACAGAGACAGCUGUGCAGAAAUGUGGUUCCUGAGGUUAAAGGUCACGCAGAAGCAAAUCUGGGCACAAUGGAGGCUGAAAAAACAGCAUUGCUGGACACCAGCAUGUGUUGUGUUUUGGAUGCUGCUAGUGUUUCAACAAGGCCAUCUAAGCUGGUCUUUUAAGUAGAGGUUUUACAAGCGGAAGGCAAUUUGUAAUAAAGAUCUGACAUCAGUCCAGUUUUGCUCUGCGUGACCUUUUGUUCUUGGGUGCCAACACUGGCUCCUCCUCUCUCUUUCUUUGUCUCUUUCUCUUUUUCUGUUUCCCAUCAGCUGUAGUUUGUGAAGGUCUGUUCAUCAACCUCUGCCUCAGGGGCGGUUCAGAUCUGAUGUUUACCUGCAGCUUUUGUAUUUAUACUCACCAACUAACUGACUGUACACUGACUGAAGACAUAUUGCUGUCAGUAACAAUAACAGCUGAUGCUCUUUAUAAGAUUAUGUAAUUUUUGUAAUGAUAAAAACAACUAAUAAAAUGGUCCAGUCUCUGUUCUCUUGUUUUCUUCCUAAAAAACUCAACAUUAAAUUAGCAUUGUUUUGUAAUCUCUGGUAUAUUUAUACUAACCUGUCCACUCUAGGAAGAUAUUCUUUGAUUGGAUAAACACAUAGCU